rnacentral:rRNA from 1 species
UACAGAGGUCUCAACCGUUGUUCGGAUUCAUUGGGCGUAAAGGGCGCGUAGGCGGCCUUCUAAGUCAGACGUGAAAUCCCCCGGCUUAACCUGGGAACUGCGUCUGAUACUGGGAGGCUCGAGUAUGGGAGAGGGAUGUAGAAUUCCAGGUGUAGCGGUGAAAUGCGUAGAUAUCUGGAGGAACACCGGUGGCGAAGGCGGCAUCCUGGACCAUGACUGACGCUGAGGAGCGAAAGCCAGGGGAGCAAACGGG